rnacentral:rRNA from 1 species
GACGUAGGGUCCAAGCGUUGUCCGGAUUUACUGGGCGUAAAGAGCGCGUAGGCGGCUCGUUAAGUGUGAUGUGAAAUCUCCAGGGCUCAACCCGGAAACUGCUUUACAUACUGGCGAGCUGGAGUGAUGCAGAGGUUUGUGGAAUUCCUGGUGUAACGGUGAAAUGUGUUGAUAUCAGGAGGAACACCCAUGGCGAAGGCAGCAAACUGGGCAUCAACUGACGCUGAGACGCGAAAGCGUGGGUAGCAAGCAGG